GGGACAUUCGUGGUCGGACGAGGAAGGCUCAGUUGGCGGUUCCACAAGCCUCCAUAUUAGAAGUGCUGUCGUCGUGACCGGUUGGUGUUUCCGUCAGUUCCACAUGAGGAUCUCCUGACAUGUCAUCGGUUGCUAAAGGAACACUUUCGUACGGCCUUAUUCAACGUGGCGUGCCAUGUUCAACCUUUGGAGGAGCUUUUACCUCGCCGCUGCGGCGGUUCGGACCAGAGGUGAGGCCAGGAAAGAAAAACAAGAUGGCGGUUCCGCGAAUGGGUCUGCGUCGUCGGUGCUGUGGUACCGGGAAGCCAGCUAGGCAUGGUCGUUUGUCCAUGGAUUAAGGCGCCAACGCACCCAAGCUCACUCAUCGAACUGCUCCUACUUGAUUGCCGGUAGAAAUUGCUUUUUUUACGUAACGUCAACAGCCUGACGGACGUUUUGUUUCUUUUUCUUUUUUUUUCUUCUCUCCUACUGAUGAACUCUGCAGAUGGUUGGGAUGCAAAAUCUCGAACCGUGGAACGACUCAACGUUGAGAAGUUGAGAAUAUGACCUUUCUUCAAUGCACAGUUGACUCCUGCCACGAAGCUUCGCGGAAGUUUCAUGACUCCUGACGUCAACUGGAGGGCUUGAACAUCGACCCGCGCGACGAAAGGCCGCCAGCAAAAAAAUCAAGCGCGAUGGAUCCUCAAUACGACUUGCAGGAAGCAUGUCGUGCAAUGCAAGGGAGCAAAAUCAUCACUUGAAAGCAGUGCAGCAUUUGCAGAAGUGUAAAUGAAAGCGAUGCCUUUCCUCAGUCCACCCGUCUACUGCAGCUGGUCGUGCUCCAGAUGUGUCGUGUGCAUCACAGUGUUGUGGGCUGUGCAGGAAGUGCUGUGGGAUGGUGCCGUGUUCCCAACUGUGAUUUUUUUUUUUCCCCCUUUUUCAAGGGGGCCUUUUAAAGUGUGGUGCAGUUAUAGUAAAAAUGGCUGUGAUAUUGGUCAUUUUGGUGGCUAGCUGCAGGACAUGAGUGUUAUUGCUUGCUGUUAGUAGCAACUCACCCUCGUGGAGUGCUUGCAGUGCAGUGCAGUUUGGUGUGUCUUUCCACUGAGAGAGUCUUCAGUGCUUUCUCUAGUGGUAUGUAUUCCAACAGCACCCUUUCAAGCAUCUGAUGUGUUUGUUGUGCUAUGUGAUGCGACGCUCAUAAGGUUUCACAGUGUGGUGUAUCAGUGGCUUCAAAGCUUGCCUCCCAAGGUUACAACGAAGUCUACACCUCUCCUUCCCAGAUCUGAGUUGUAUUGCUUCCAGGGUAUUUCUACAAUCUGUGAGUGAGAGUGCCUCCCCAAGCAAGAUGCGCCAUAUCUGGGCACCACUAGUCCACACCUGCAGCAAGCCUCCGUGUAUGUGUGUGUGUGUGUGUGUGUGCGCGCGCAUAUAUGUUCAUAUAAAAAUUACCUCGUUUCUUGGUGAUCUGCAUCAUAGGAGCAUCAUCAUUACAUGAAGUGUUGCCAUCAGCCAGAAGAAAAAAAAGUGCAUGUUGGCCUAAAGGCUUGUUUACACAGUUGUGUUCAAGUGCGACCGCAACCACUUGCACCUCGUUCAGACAGCUUGCGCCGAGCUGUUGCUAUGGCGACACAUACGACGAGCCAAUGGUGAGGUGGUGUGCUACAUGACGCAAUGCAGCGCAACGUGGUUCAUGCAAAUGUGUGAACCAGCCUUAAUAGUGCCUGCCUACAGAGGCAACUUGUGAGUGAAGCCCAUGGAUGUGCUGCGUGCAUAUUGUGCCAUCCUGGAAUACCCUAAGAGAAUACAAGAAGUGAAUUGUGCCUGUGCAAUGUGGGGCUGUGUGGUGAAGGGGGGUGUGUAAAGCCAUUCAAAAUUUCCAUGCAUAGCAAGUGACGUGUGUGAAGUGCGUGCCGUGUCCAGUAUGCCCACCUCGAAGCAGCAGAGCAGAGAAGGGUGCAAGGUUGAUUCUUCAGAUGCUGCAUCUAUAAUCAAGGUCGUCGGCACCUUCUAGCUGUUUAUAGACUCUCGUGAGUGGUUGUGGUUUGGUUUCAUCCAUGAUCCUUUUGUGAAGUGGCUGUGCAGAUAGUGCCCCGCUGUGCGAGUUCAGUGCCUGUGCCGUGUGUGUGCACACAAGUUUGUGAAGCGCAUGGUGAAGUUCGAAGUGAAAGCCUCGUCAGUGGUUCAGCCUGAAGUGCGUCCAGUGUCAAUCUCAGCCAGGCUCACUCAUCGGAGUGAAGUGCCAGCUGGCAGUUCAGUCUGCAGCAUGGAGAUGAAGAGACGUCAUCCCCACCUAAGAAAUGAACAAGCCGGCAGCAUUGGGCCUCCAGGGAGCCAAGAAAGGAUCACAACGCCUCUCCUGUCUGCAGUCGUCGAGAUCCACUUUAAAAUAUCAUAAGAUACAUUCUUUCCUUUCUGCUCUCAAUUCUCUCCCAAAGUUUCUUUUGAUUAAGUUGUGUGGAUGCUUGGUCACUAAAUGGGACAUUUUUCAACAGGUGGAACGUAAAAAUAAGGGCGGUUCAUCAAGCUUCUUCAUCGAGCAGUGAUUGUUUCAUCACAAGUAACAGUAAGUUUGCAAGCAAGGCAAGUGUUUUGAAACCCACUUCGCAGUGGUUGCAAACAUUUUGGCUUCACAGAGUGGAGGUCAUUCAUGCAGGGUAUGGCUGCUGCCAAAGGUGAGCUUCCCUGGUUGGUGGCUGAAAGACCCCCCAACAGGUAUGGUGCCAUCUGUAUUUUAUUGCCCUCCAGCAAUUUAUGCAACUCUUAACUGGAUCUUUAGUAUUUAUGAUGAUGUCGAGAGAAGAUGUAGAAUCUUUCAGGUGCAUCGGUGGAAAAAUGGAGGCUGCAGCUUAUCAAAGUUUGCCAGCUAGAUAUGCAGCAGCUCAUGUGUAAGAAGCUGGACUGAAUGGCUGUCAAGCAAGGAAAGACUGGUCAUCAGCUAUUAAAUUGCAGUGCCAUGGUCCAGACCUUCCAGAGUUGAAAACAUCAGUAGCUAAAGAGAAUGAAGUCACCCAGCUGUACUAACCUCUGAAUAGGAAUGCUAUCCAAAAUAACAAGCUUAACUCUGAAAGCAGCAAAUGCAAGCAGCAGGACUGAUACUUCCAGACAUCCAAGCAAGAAGGUAUUCGUUGAGCAUAAAAUAUUGAAGUAAACAGACUGCAAACUAAGAUUCGGGACCUGUUGCUGAGUUCAGGUGUGUCUGCACAGCAAAGCAGUUUUUAAAGGACUAAGAAGCAACUUGCACAAUGACACUUCAAGGACUUGAUGCUGGCUCUUAUCCAGAGCAUAUGGGAGUAAACCCCAUUCAAAGCGAAGGUGCCACUGAACUGCAGUUCUCCCAGCAAAAUGCAAUUGUGCCAUGCCACAAAGCAUCACGGGAUGUGUUGUGCAGUGAAGUGAUGUGCCGUUGUUCAUUGUGCAGUGAUGUGUUCUGCAGUGAAGUGCUCUCUACCAAGCUGUCGUGCUGUGCAUUAAUGUGUCACAGUGAAGUGCUGUGUAGGAGAUAAGUGAAGUGCCUUGUAGUGAAGUGCUGUGGAGGGAGAUAAGUGAAGUGCCUUGCAGUGAAGUGCUGUGAAGGGAGAUAAGUGAAGUGUCUUGCAGUGAAGUGCUGUGGAGUCAUCUGCCACUUAGGCAAGUGGCACAAAGGGAAGCAUCACAGAGCAAAGUGUGGUGUAGUGAUCUAGAUUGGAGUGGUUUUCGACGAGGUCUGAUGUGCUGCCUAAUAUAUGUGAGAGUCGGUGUUGUUGAUCUGUGCUGUGUUGUGCAAAUGGUGCUCCAAGUGGUGUGCAAUGGUCGUCACUAGUGGAUAAGUGGGUGUGAGUGUGCGGGGGUGUCCGCAAAAGUGGAUCCUGUGCUUCGAAGUGAAUGGGCAAGAUGUUGGCUCUGCAGUCUGUGCUGUGCUUGGUUCCCGUGAUCUGUGCGUGCUUGAGUGGCAACACAGAAGAAAGCUGAAGAACCACCUGCUUCCAAGUUUGCAAAAGUGUAGGACACGCCUCUUGUGAGUGCCUUCAGUGCGUGCUGUGAAAAAUGUGCAACACGACAAGGAGAGAAAGUCCUCUGGUAAAAUGCCGUGAUACGACGAUGGUGCAUCAAAGGAGGGCGGUAGAAGAGUUGUUUCAUUUCGAGCACCCCCAAAUUUAAUUUUACUCAUUUCAUUCUGCAGGCCGGCAGGGCGGUCGAAGGAACAAGGUUUCCUGCCUGGCAAGCCCCUUCCCAAGACCAGCGGUCACGGCACACCGCUGGAUAGCUGUCCGUUUCUGUCCACUGCCAUGAGAGGCAGCAGACUACGGCACGAGAAGCCAUUGCAGCAUUGCUUGAGUGUACACAAACAUAAACAUCUGAAGUAACGUUCUGCAGAAAAUGGGAGUAUUUAAGGGAAGAGAGCAGGCUGUCCAGGUGUUGCAUGAAGUGCGCAAGAUAAAAGUCGAUCCGUGUCUGUUGCUGCAGUGGUUCUAUCAAAUAGUGUAUUUUUGGGGCGCGUUUGUUUUUACUGGUGCAUCCAAUUGCACCCUUUGGAGCCAACUUGGGAAGGAAGCAGGUUGUGGUAGUAAUUUAAAGAUGGGAGACAAGGGAUAACAAAGCUGGAAUACCUGGCAAAGGUAGAAAUAUGUGCAACUUUGUUUCUGCAAACAAUAGCUUGCGUGCAAGUUUAGCAUAGAGGUUUUUUUCUUGUAACUUCUUGGAUGGUCAAUGGGACAUAACCUUUCUAUUCCAAUAUACGUUUAAAAGUAAACCAAACUAAGCUUCGCUGAGAUGCCAUUGGAAGUUCACGUGCAUAUGACUAAUAUUGCUCUAGUGAAAUAUGGUUCACAGUAAUCACAUGUUAAGAGUUGUCUUCAUCAAUUUCCUGAUAUAUCCUGUAAAUGUAUUUAUUUUAGGGCACUUUCAGUAACUGAUUUAGUUCCAUCAUAUAGUCUUAAACAAAAAGAACUUCUCUAGUUCAAGGUAUAAAGCUUUCAAUAAUUACACUGCAUUAUAUUUUUUUUACAGGCUCUGAAGCUUCUGGACCAAGACGACCAUGAUGAAGAACAGUAUAACAGUGUUGUAAUGCUAGGUUAUUUUCAUUGAAAUCUGUCAGAUCGGCACCCCUGCUGUAAUAGAAGGCUGUAACAUAGUCUGACAGCAUUCUUUUUUUUGGGGUGACUGCAAUUGUAAAAAUGGGUGAGAAUUACGUUUUCGUUUUUACAGUAAUUUAUGAAUUUUGAUCUCAGGAAUCUGGUUGUUUCACACUGUAGCCUGUUAAAGGGGUUGUUUGUGCGGCACUUUUAUUAUAAUGAAGGUAAUUGAUAAAAAUCUCCACAUUUAUAGCGUGAAAAAAAAAAGUGCUCUUUAAAAAUGGCCACCAAUCCAUUUCCCAUUUCAGUAUGCAUGCUUUAGCUAGCUUUCAAAAUUACAGUGCCGUCAUACCUCUGCACACAAUCAUGAAAUUGUGGCAUGAAAUAUGUUGUAUGUACCUCCGUUUUCUCUCGUUGCAGGAAAAUGCCCGUGUCGCCGAGCUGCACUCGAAAAUGGCCUUAAUAUCUGAAAGAAAGACAAAGGAAACGUCCAAGACUGAAGAAUCACAGAUAGAAAAAUUAAACUUCCUUGGCAAAAUAUAGGUUUGCUCCAUAGAAUAGGAUUGGAUGUCUAAAGGAACAUACUUCUUUGUAUGCACAAAAAUAAUGGGCACAACUUUCCAGGCAGGACCAUCACCCCACAAUGUAAUUGCAAACAAUUGCCAAGAUUAUUGCACUGCUACAGUGGAAUAGUGCACAGCCACAUUUUUUAAAUUUUGCACUAAACCGGCCAGUGCAGAAGUGCAUUCAAGAGGCGAGUGAAAAACUGCUCAAGAUCCAUGCCGUGCAACGGGUGUUUUCAUGACGACUUGUUGGACAAGUCCAAGGAAGGCCAUCCAGUCAAGGUGGUGGAGGAAGUGCACCUCCUUGGCUGCUUGAAGAUUACUGCUUGGGACUGCAGAAAAGCCCUGUGGCCUGGGUAUUCUGCUGGUGAGUGUGCCAGGUUUCCUGUAACGGUAAGUCUGCUGCUUCAGGCAUGGGUGUCAACACGUGAGUACAGUUGCAAAAAUUAUGAAGCAAUAAAAUCGAUUUGUUUACAUAUAAAAAAAAAAGGUACAAAUAAGCCAUUUUUUUUAUUUUUGUUUUUAAACGUUAUAAUGUAGUCCUUUGCAACUCGCGAAAGUCUGGUAACAUUGUAGAGACGUCGGCAGGAGCAGUCGCAGAAGUCUGGCAAUGAAACAUAUUUUCAAAGAUAAUUUUGUAGUAAUUUAGGACGUCAUACUAGUAUGUUUAACCUUCUUUUUUUUUUUUUUUUUUGUCUCUGAUGUUUAGUGUGGAAGCGCAAAACUCGCUAAACAAAAAAAAAAUGAUACACAAAACUCUGGCAACCUUGUCAAUUGGGCCUUGCAGCACCAAAGUCUGGCAACUAUUUGCCAACAUCAUAUUAAUAUAAUAUGUUUUAUACGUAAUUUAAAGGCAGUUUUACAAACUAUAAUUCGAUACUUUUCUAAUUACAACAAACGCAACGGUACUGCUGCUAUCAAAUCUGUCCGCAAAAGUCUGGCAACCCGACGGCCAUGAAAGUCUGGCAACACACAUGGCGUGCAUUUCAACGUUAGGCCCGCUUCCGGCUGGGCAACUUUUCCGGCAAUUUUGAGGUUGCUGGCGGGUUGUUCCCUAGCUUUCCCUAGAUCCACGCGAAUUGCUGAGAAGAGUUGGUCGUGGCUGAGAUCGGGUCCGGCUCGACCAAGCGAGCAACUCCGACCAAUUCGAGGACGGUUUAAGCGGCUGCAGCCAAUCAGAGACGCGAUAUUUUCACGUGACACCCCUGUGGUGGUGGUGAUGACAGCUAAAGACUUAGUUCUGGUUUGGAAUGAAUUGUUUUCGGAAAUAAACAGUUUCAGAGAAAUGAGUUAGUAUUCUCAAAGCCGUUCAAAGAUAAAAGAAUGCGUUUUUAGCGCGUAGCUGGGCGUCUAAAUAUUGAAAGAAGAAUCAAAUUUAAUGAUGAUGGCACGUCGGAGCAAUUCGGUUGCUGCGUGCGAACGCGGGCGGCCGGGUGUUGCAACGUCAAAUUGCUGGCUGAAAUUGCUCCGUCUGAAGCGGGCCUUAGUGCAUUUGGCGUUUCGUUGCGUAGUGUAUGGAUAUUUUUCUGCCUCGUAAACAAGGAACUAAAAAACUACGCUUUGCAUAGAAAAAAAAAACGUGGGUUCCGAAUUCGUCUCAAGGUACUGCACAAGCCGAUGUGGGCCCGCGGCCCGUUAUUUCUUUUCGGGUGGCACUGGGUUGGGCGAACGACGUUUUAGCGAACGUCGACUUUUCAUCGAGGUUACUUCACGCCCGCCGAGCCUUCGUAGUUUUAGGCUCGUUUCGGACGGGGAAACUUUUGCAGCAAUUUUGUGGUUGCUGGCGGGUUGUUCCCUAGCUUUCUCUACGUCGACACGAAUUGCUGAGGUGGGGUCCGGCUCGAAACGGACGAGAAUUCGAACCACUCGGAGACGUUUGAAGCGGCAGCCGCGGCAGCAGCCGACCAGGGACGCGAUACUGUAGCGAUAUUUCACGUGACACCCCUGUGGUGGUGAUGACAGCUAAAGACUUAGUUCUACAGCGUGAUUCAAGGAGACAGCAGGCUCUUUAAAUCGACCGUAAAAUAAAAACCGGAAGAAAAUAGGGAGUUUUAGAAUAACGUACGCAAUUUCAGCGCACGCUACGCAAGAGAGUUCCAGAAUAACGUCAAGCAUCUCGGAUAGUCACCAUUUUUAUUUUACACACGAAAGGCUGUAACAUGAAAAAAAAAAAAAAA